rnacentral:lncRNA from 1 species
CUGUGGGUGUAAUUUAAGGCAGAACUUGGCCUUUCUUACAUAUUUCAUUUACUCCCUUGAUUUUAAUUGACCCUGUUAUGGGCAUUUCAAGCAUUUCACGAGCCUGUGGUGCCUGGUUUCUCAGGUCAGAGAGAGGUUUUCUCAGACCCUCUGUCCCAACAGGGCCUGGCUGUUGGCAGCAUGAGCAGAUACCCCUCCCCUGGAACAACCCUGUUCUGUGGGAUUGGGAUCCAGCUUGAAGGUCACCAAUCCCUCAGACCAAAAGAGGUCAUCAAGACUCUUCAUCCAGCAUGGAAAAGAAGGAUUUCCCCCUCCUUCAGGCUCCUUAUCACUUGCUCAGAGGCUCAGAGCUCCUCCUGGCAGUUUCCCUUGGGAUCAGCGUUGGAGAAGGAGCAUGCUUCAUGCACAUGGGCAGCUGGGAGGCCUCUGCACUUUUUCAAGGUCUGUGAGAUAUUGUGCUUCCCACACGGGCAGUUCCUGCUGCCAGCAGCUGGUUUAGAGGCUCAACAACACCAAAAUCAUUGA